rnacentral:rRNA from 1 species
UACGUAGGUGGCAAGCGUUGUCCGGAAUUAUUGGGCGUAAAGGGCGUGUAGGUGGAUUUUUAAGUCGUGUGUCUAAGUGCGGGGCUCAACCCCGUAUAGGCGCAGGAAACUGGGAAUCUUGAGUGCAGGAGAGGAAAGUGGAAUUCCCAGUGUAGCGGUGAAAUGCGUAGAUAUUGGGAGGAACACCAGUGGCGAAGGCGACUUUCUGGACUGUGUCUGACACUGAGGCGCGAAAGCUAGGGGAGCGAACGGG